rnacentral:rRNA from 1 species
UACGUAGGGUGCGAGCGUUAAUCGGAAUUACUGGGCGUAAAGCGCGCGCAGGCGGUUUUGUAAGUCAGCUGUGAAAUCCCCGGGCUUAACCUGGGAAUGGCAUUUGGGACUGCAAGGCUUGAGUGCGGCAGAGGAGACUGGAAUUCCUGGUGUAGCAGUGAAAUGCGUAGAGAUCGGAAAGAACACCAACGGCGAAAGCACUCUGCUGGGCCGUCACUGACACUGAGAGACGAAAGCUAGGGGAGCGAAUGGG